AGUAAGCGUCUUUUAAUUUCAUGGCUGCAGUCACCAUCUGCAGUGAAGCCUACCUACUCCCAUUUUUAUUUUGGAAAAAUCUAGUCCUUUCCACUUUGGGUUCCAAAAUAUAUAUAUAUUUGGUUUAUGUUUAAAAAUUGUUUAAGGAUGUCAGUGCAACUAACUGCCUUCCUCUCCACUCUGCCAGCACCUUCCUGACUCUUUUUCUCAUAUUUGCCAUGUCCUCUCUAGGCUGUGUCCUCAGCCCUGUGCUUGGGUAGGAAACUAUCCUGGAUAUUGGGCGUCUAUGUCUUCCCGCCUCUUGCCUGUUCUGUGUCCCUCUGCCCUCUAUCAGCACCUCAUCUGGACCGAUUUGGCGGAUCCCAGCCCUGGGUUCACACUUUUCUGUUGUGGGAUCAUACAGCAGCUUGGUAUAUUUAGGACAAACUUUACUGGCAUAUAGGAAGCUUUGAUGGUUUCCCAUCCACUACUUUCAUGUUCCCGCUCCAGCAGCAGUCUCAGUCCCUGGGUCAGACUGAGAGCCAACCCCCAAUUCAUAAUCACCAUUAACCUUCUAAAAGUAAGUCAAGGGACUUUCCUGGUGGUCCAGUGACUAAGACCUGCUGCUGUCAAUGCAGGGGGCUCGGGUUGGAUCCCUAGUUCAGGAAACUAGAUCCCAUCAGGGAACUAGAUCCCACAUGCUGCAACUAAAGAUUCGGCACAAAUAUGACCCAGAGCAGCCAAAUAAAUGUUAAAAACAAAUACAAAAACAUUAGGUCCAUAAUUGGUACUGCUCAUUCAGAAAGCAUGAGAUGCUAAGUCUAAACUAUUCAAGGCUAAACUCUUUGUGAAUCUGAGUCAGCUCCUUAUUGUCCCUGUUGUAGGGUAAGGUAGUCAGAGAAGGCGAGGUUCAGAAAAAGAACAGGAUUGGCACUUUACAGGAACAUCUGUAACACCUUUAAUGAGGCGAGAAGGGGCAGCAGUCAGAUUAGUGAGCUGCUGCACUAACCCAAGAAAAGAGUAAGUAUAUAUAGGCAUAUAUGUGGAAAUCUACUGUCUUAAGGGGGCCUGCUCUUCUCCAAGAUUGUUUGGAGUAGCUAUCUCUUAAAUGGCUGGGGCAAGGAAUUCUGGAGAAGCUGGACCAGCUGGGAGCUGGGUGUAAUCAACCUUAAUGUCCACUUUUUUUUUCUUCGGGUGAGAGAGUUCUUUGUUUUGCAUAGAAUGGUGAGGAGGACCCGGAGGGGAGUUUUAACUCCAGGCUAUUUUGAGCUGUGUAACUUUCCUUCACCUGUUGUAUCUGACUCUGCAAUCCCAUGGACUGCAGCAUGCCAGACCUCCCUGUCCUUCACUAUCUCUCAGAGUCUGCUCAGGUUCAUGUCCAUUGAGUUGGUGAUGCUAUCCAAACAUUUCAUCCUCUGCCACCCUCUCCUUUUGCCUUCGGUCUUUCCCAGCCUCAGGGUCUUUUCCCUGUCCCUGAGAAAGUUGCUCAGUCACAUCUGACUCUUUGCGACCCCAUGGACUAUACAGUCCAAGGGAUUCUCCAGGCCAGAAUACUGGAGUGGGUAGCUGUUCCCUUCUCUAGAGGAUCUUCCCAACCCAGGGAUCGAACCCAGGUCUCCCACACUGUAGGUGAAUUCUUUACCAGCUGAGCCACCAGGGAAGCCCUGUCCCUACUCUGUCUCUAAAGGUGGCCUGUGGUUCUUUUCCCAGAUUCACACUCUGGGUGAGGUGAAAGGUAGUGAGAUGCUCCUAAGAUGAAAGUCAUGACUGCCCCCCUUUCCCGAGGGUCUCCAGCCCUGGGCUCAGGGCACGUCUAGGCAGUGCCCCAAACUGCUGGUGUGUUCGGAGGGGAGAACUGAUUCCACAACAGAAAGAAGUUGCCUCACAAGACUGAAAGGAGAACUUCAAACAUGCUGUCAGAAACGCAUCAAACGUCAGCCAUGAAGCAACCCUCCAGGUCAUGCCCAGCAGCCAGCCUGUCCCGGGCUGUGGAAACCAACGACCAAAGAAGGAAGCACACCUGAGCCAGCUUGCUCUCGAGCUGCAAUAUGCAGAUGAAGGAUCAUUCUGCAGAUCCAGAUCCUUCUGAGGUGGCUUAGUUAAUCAAAGAGAAUGAACUUCCCAGAGACAAGAGAACAGUGCUGCAGCCAAGCAAAGAACAGUAGCUGUGCUUCUAAACUAGACUCUCCAAAGAGCCCAUGAACAUUUUCUAGACCAGCAUCCCAUCUCAUUCAGCCUUUCCUCCCUCUCAGAGUUUCCAGAUAUUUACCAUCCUGAGGUCCAGCAUUAGCCAAUGGUCUUAAAAGGGAUGCCUAGCAAAGAAAGGAAUAUGGGAGGUAUGGUCUGGUAGGGUGCCCUUUUCUGGGCAGUGUACUUCCGGAUGGUUGGAUGUCGAGACACUCACCUAUCCCCUAACUAUACUUUAACAUUUCCU
ensembl:lncRNA